UACGUAGGGGGCAAGCGUUGUCCGGAAUCAUUGGGCGUAAAGCGCGUGUAGGCGGCUUGGUAAGUCCGCUCUGAAAGCCCGGGGCUCAACCCCGGGAGGCGGGUGGAUACUGGCAAGCUCGAGUCCGGAAGAGGCGAGUGGAAUUCCUGGUGUAGCGGUGAAAUGCGCAGAUAUCAGGAGGAACACCAAUGGCGAAGGCAGCUCGCUGGGACGUGACUGACGCUGAGACGCGAAAGCGUGGGGAGCAAACAGG
rnacentral:rRNA from 1 species